GACUGGAAAUGUUAACCUAUGUAAAGCUCCUUCGACGAGUCGAGUUGUUUGGGAAUGCAGCUCUAAAUGGGAGGUAAAUUUCUUCUAAAGCUAAAUAUUGGCGAGAGACCGAUAGCGCACAAGUAGAGUGAUCGAAAGAUGAAAAGCACUUUGGAAAGAGAGUUAAAAAGCACGUGAAAUUGUUGAAAGGGAAGCGCUUGCAAUCAGACUUGUUUAAACUGUUCGGCCGGUCUUCUGACCGGUUUACUCAGUUUGGACAGGCCAGCAUCAGUUUCGGCGGCCGGAUAAAGGCUCUGGGAAUGUGGCCUUCACUUCGGUGAAGGUGUUAUAGCCCAGGGUGUAAUACGGCCAGCCGGGACUGAGGUCCGCGCUUCGGCUAGGAUGCUGGCGUAAUGGUUGUAAGCGACC
rnacentral:rRNA from 1 species